GUUCUGGCCCUCCAGGGUUCAGGCCCUCCAGGGUUCUCGCCCUCCAGGGUUCUGGCUCUCCAGGGUUCUGGCCCUCCAGGGUUCUGGCCUUCCAGGGUUCUCACCCUCCAGGGUUCAGGCCCUCCAGGGUUCUCGCCCUCCAGGGUUCUGGCUCUCCAGGGUUCUGGCCCUCCAGGGUUCUGGCCUUCCAGGGUUCUCGCCCUCCAGGGUUCUGGCCCUCCAGGGUUCUCGCCCUCCAGGGUUCUGGCUCUCCAGGGUUCUGGCUCUCCAGGGUUCUGGCUCUCCAGGGUUCUCGCCCUCCAGGGUUCUGGCCCUCCAGGGUUCUCGCCCUCCAGGGUUCUGGCUCUCCAGGGUUCUGGCCCUCCAGGGUUCUGGCCUUCCAGGGUUCUGGCCCUCCAGGGUUCUGGCCCUCCAGGGUUCUGGCCCUCCAGGGUUCUGGCCCUCCAGGGUUCUGGCCCUCCAGGGUUCUGGCCCUCCAGGGUUCUGGCUGUGGGAGGAAGCUUCCUGAUGUUUGGGUGUGCAGACCCAAACUAUAGAGGUGUAAUCUAUGUCUUGUUCUCCUUUAGGGCCAGUAUGGAAAUUACCAGCAAUAAAGAACAAGCAUUGUCUUUGGACCCUUCAUAGUAGUAUGUUCUGGACAAGCCGGUGGCAGUUCUGAUGAGUAGCGACAUGUUGGUCACCCUCUCUGCCCAGUGCCGUGUCUGCAUGAGAGGCAGGCUGGUUUCAUGCUGGGCGUGAUGCUGUGUGCACCACUGACUGCGAUAUGGCGUGACAUGUCUGGUGCUGUGUAAAGUAUUGUAUAUCGGUACGAUGGGGAGGUUGUCCUGUUUGUGUCCCCUGCCCGCUCCCUGAUGUUCUUAGCUAGCUUGGGGGGGGGUUACCGUGUCAUCACAUGUUCUGUGCCUGGUGAUGAGACAAUGUCUAAGAGACAUCAUGGUCCAUGCUGCUGUGAACAGACUCAGUCUGCCCCCUCUCAUACCAUUGUUGCAAAGUGGACUGUAAAUGUUUCUUCAACUGGCGGCUCAUAGCUUGACAUACAUACACCGCUAGGUGACCAUUUCUUCUGUGCCUAAGUAGGGCUUGAGGACACCUUCUGUGUCUUGGGUCAUGUCACUAUAACAAGGAAGAUGUGCUUUGUGUGCAAGGACCAUGAGCUGUCCUUUCCAGAACUUACCAAUUGCCUGUGUCUCUCCAGUUUCCAUGAUCCCAAAGGAUGUCUUUGUAUUAGCGAGUAAAGAAGGAUCGAUGACUAUUCCAAAUGACAGUCGGUGAGAGUGUGGGCAUCGUGAGGGGAGCUUUCACUAAGGAGGGCGCUGUCUGAAGAGCAAUUCUUGCUGUCUCCGAGCUGCUUGUGUGUAGUAUGGCUUUGGCCCUUGGCGUCAUCUCUAGGAUUUGAGUGUGCCCAAACCUAAGUUUAUAGAGAAUUUAAAGUACUCAUGUUUAAUUUUACAAGCAGUUGGCAAGUGUUUAUAUUACUUCUUCAGGACCUCUGAGUUCAGAUUGCCAAGCAGAUGUUCCUUUGCGUUUAGGGAAGUCUGAAAUCCACACUGCAUUUUUAAUGAAUCCAAAUAACUUUAUUACGUUCUUUCAAAUGAAAAGGACAAGUUUUAUACAGUGAGAAUUGGGUGAUUUUUUUUUUUUUUACAUUCCUAGGAUGUUUAAUCUCGUUUUAAUUCUGUGCAAACAUGAGAGACAGCCUUUUUGAAAAGGUUCUAUCAAAGGAAAACACCGCAUAUAAUGCAGCAGGCAUAUUUUUCAGCAUUUAUUUAGAUAAUAACAAUGUUACUAUG
rnacentral:lncRNA from 1 species